rfam:Acidobacteria bacterium RIFCSPLOWO2_02_FTLL_67_21 rifcsplowo2_02_scaffold_7493, whole genome shotgun sequence.
GAGAGCCGGAUGCGGGAAAUCUGCACGUCCGGUUCGAUGAGCGGGGAGGAGAAACGGAGCGAUGGACCACUCGGC